UCAUCUUUUCUUUCUCCAUCUCUUUCUGUUGCUGAUCUUUUAAUUCCAUCUCUCUCUGAUUGUCAUUGUCUUUCUCCCUUUCUUUCUCCUUCUCCUUUUGUUUCUGUCUCUCCUCUUGUUGUUGUCGUCUGUGUAUCUCUUCUAUCUCUCUCUGUCUCUUGUUCUCCCCCUCUCUUCCCUCCUUCUCCAUGUCAAUUUGCUUCUGUUUCCAUAUAUUUUCUUCUUCUUGAUCUCUCUCAAACAUUAUCUUUCUCUCCUCUUGUUGUUGUCGUCUUUCUUUCUCUCCCAUCUCUCUCUGUCUCUCUUUCUCUUCGAUCGCUCUCUGUCUCUCUUCUUCUCUUUCUUCCUCUUCCAUCUCUAUUUGCUUCUGUUUACAUCUUUCUUCUUCAUACUCUCUUUCAAUCUCUCUCUGUCUCUCUUCUUCUCGUUCUUCCUCUUCCAUCUCUAUUUGCUUCUGUUCAAAUAGUUCUUCUUCAUUCUCUCUUUCAAUCUCUCUCUGUCUCUCUUCUUCUCUUUCGAUAUGUUUCUGUUCCAUUAUGUCUCUUUUCCAUUAUCUUUCUUUUGAUCUCUCUCUGUCUCUUCUCCCUCUCUCGUUCUUCCUCUUCCAUCUCUAUUUGCUUCUGUUUACAUCUUUCUUCUUCGUGCUCUCUUUCAAUCUCUCUCUGUCUCUCUUCUCUUUCUUUCUCUUCCAUCUCUAUUUGCUUCUGUUUACAUCUUUCUUCUUCAAUCUCUCUUUCAAUCUCUCUCUGUCUCUCUUCUUCUCUUUCCAUAAUUUUCUGUCUCUUCUCCAUUCUCCUUCUUUUGAUCUCUCUCUGUCUCUCUUUCUCCCUUUCUCGUUCUUCCUCUUCCAUCUCUAUUUGCUUCUGUUUACAUCUUUCUUCUUCAAUCUCUCUUUCAAUCUCUCUCUGUCUCUCUUCUUCUCUUUCCAUAAUUUUCUGUCUCUUCUCCAUUCUCUUCCUUUUUAUCUGUCUCUGUCUCUCUUUCUCCCUCUCUCUUUCUUCAUCUUCCAUCUCUUUGUGCUUCUGUUUGCGUCUCUCCUCUUCUUCUUCUCUCUCCAUCUCCUUCUUCUCAUCUUCUUCUUGUCUCUGUUUUGGUAUUUUCUCCAUUCUCUUUCUUUCUACCUCUUUCUGUUUGUUGUGCUCACCCUCCAUCUUCUCCUCCAUGUCCAUUUGGUUCUGUUUCCAUUUAUAUUUGUCUGUUUCCAUAUUUUCUAAUUCUAUCUGCUGUUCCUUGAUUUUCUUGAAGACUUCCUCCAAUUCAGACGUCUUUUUGUCAUUGAUGAGGGCUGUCUCCAUCUCCAUCUCUCUCUCCACUCUAUUUUUCAUUUCCUCUUCACUUCGUCUCCAAUCAUUUUCUCUCUCUCUGUCUCUAUCAAAUGUUCUCUCUGGUUCAGUCUCGUCUUUCAAUCUAAUCUCUUCUUUCAUUCUCACAACCUCUCUGUCUAACACUAGUACAUUUUGGUUAACCUGUUUCACUCUCUCAUUCUGUCUUCUAAACGCUUCUUUCGCUCUUUCAAAUUUGAUUUUGUAUUGA
rnacentral:lncRNA from 1 species